UACGUAGGGUGCAAGCGUUGUCCGGAAUUAUUGGGCGUAAAGAGCUCGUAGGCGGUUCGUCGCGUCGGCUGUGAAAACCUGAGGCUCAACCUCAGGCCUGCAGUCGAUACGGGCGGACUUGAGUACUGCAGGGGAGACUGGAAUUCCUGGUGUAGCGGUGAAAUGCGCAGAUAUCAGGAGGAACACCGGUGGCGAAGGCGGUCUCUGGCAGUGAACUGACGCUGGAGGAGCGAAAGCGUGGGAGCGAACAGGA
rnacentral:rRNA from 1 species